GACGAACGCUGGCGGCGUGCUUAACACAUGCAAGUCGAACGGAAAGGCCCUUCGGGGUACUCGAGUGGCGCACGGGCGGGUAACACGUGGGUGAUCUGCCCUGCACUUUGGGAUAAGCCUGGGAAACUGGGUCUAAUACCGAAUAGGACCACGCGCUUCAUGGUGUGUGGUGGAAAGCUUUUGCGGUGUGGGAUGGGCCCGCGGCCUAUCAGCUUGUGGGUGGGGUAAUGGCUUGCCAAGGCGACGACGGGUAGCCGGCCUGAGAGGGUGACCAGCCACAAUGGGCCUGAGAUAGGCCCCAGAAUCCAAUGGGCGGCAGCGGGGGGAAGUCUUGCACAGUGGGGGCACGCGUGUUACGGCGACCUCGGGUGGGGAAUGACGGCUUUCGGGUUGUAAACCUCUGUGAAUGGAGACGAGGCGGAAGUGACGGUACCUAAAGAAGAAGCACCGGCUAACUACGUG
rnacentral:rRNA from 1 species